UGAAUUGUUGACUAAUUGGCAAGUCAUUUAGAUUUGGUCUAAACUAUACACGUUCGAGUCGUGUCUAUUCAA